rnacentral:rRNA from 1 species
AGGCUUUCUGGCUUCGUAGGUGACCUGCGGAGGAUCAUUA